UACAGAGGGUGCGAGCGUUAAUCGGAAUGACUGGGCGUAAAGGGCGCGUAGGCGGUUAUAUAAGAUGAGAUGUGAAAUCCUGGGCUUAACCUAGGAAUUGCAUUUAGACUGUAUGGCUAGAGUGCAGUAGAGGGUGGUGGAAUUUCCGGUGUAGCGGUGAAAUGCGUAGAGAUCGGAAGGAACAUCAGUGGCGAAGGCGACCACCUGGACUGGUCAACAGACGCUGGAGGCGACGAAAGCGUCGGGGAGCAAACAGG
rnacentral:rRNA from 1 species